rnacentral:rRNA from 1 species
CAGCCGCCGCGGUAAGACGAACCGUACGAACGUUAUUCGGAAUCACUGGGCUUAAAGCGCGUGUAGGCGGGACGGCACGUCGACUGCUGAAAUCCCUCGGCUUAACCGAGGAAGUGGCAUCGAUACGACCGUCCUGGAGGAACGUAGGGGGACCUGGAACUUCCGGUGUAGCGGUGAAAUGCGUAGAGAUCGGGAGGAACAUCAGUGGCGAAGGCGGCCAUCUGGGACAACACUGACGCUGAGGCACGAAAGCGUGGGGAGCAAACAGGAUUAGAUACCCCAGUAGUCCCUGUCUCUUAUA